GGAAUCUUCCACAAUGGACGCAAGUCUGAUGGAGCAACGCCGCGUGAGUGAAGAAGGUUUUCGGAUCGUAAAACUCUGUUGUUAGAGAAGAACACGAGUGAGAGUAACUGUUCAUUCGAUGACGGUAUCUAACCAGCAAGUCACGGCUAACUACGUGCCAG
rnacentral:rRNA from 1 species